UACAGAGGUGGCAAGCGUUGUUCGGAAUUACUGGGCGUAAAGGGCGCGUAGGCGGUCGUGACAAGUCACUUGUGAAAUCUCCGGGCUUAACUCGGAACGGUCAAGUGAUACUGUCGGACUAGAGUACAGAAGGGGCAACUGGAAUUCUCGGUGUAGCGGUGAAAUGCGUAGAUAUCGAGAGGAACACCUGCGGCGAAGGCGGGUUGCUGGGCUGAUACUGACGCUGAUGCGCGAAAGCCAGGGGAGCGAACGGG
rnacentral:rRNA from 1 species